rnacentral:rRNA from 1 species
AUUGAACGCUGGCGGCAGGCCUAACACAUGCAAGUCGAGCGGAUGAAGGGAGCUUGCUCCUGGAUUCAGCGGCGGACGGGUGAGUAAUGCCUAGGAAUCUGCCUGGUAGUGGGGGAUAACGUCCGGAAACGGGCGCUAAUACCGCAUACGUCCUGAGGGAGAAAGUGGGGGAUCUUCGGACCUCACGCUAUCAGAUGAGCCUAGGUCGGAUUAGCUGGUUGGUGGGGUAAAGGCCUACCAAGGCGACGGUCCGUAACUGGUCUGAGAGGAUGAUCAGUCACACUGGAACUGAGACACGGUCCAGACUCCUACGGGAGGCAGCAGUGGGGAAUAUUGGACAAUGGGCGAAAGCCUGAUCCAGCCAUGCCGCGUGUGUGAAGAAGGUCUUCGGAUUGUAAAGCACUUUAAGUUGGGAGGAAGGGCAGUAAGUUAAUACCUUGCUGUUUUGACGUUACCAACAGAAUAAGCACCGGCUAACUUCGUG